CACCAUACUUGGCUAAUUUUUGUAUUUUUAGUAGAGAUGGGUUUCACCAUGUUAGCCAGGCUCAUCUCAAGCUCCUGACCUUGUGAUCUGUCCACCUCAGCCUCCCAAAGUGCUGGGAUUACAGGCGUGAGCCACCGCGCCUGGCCUUUUAUUUUUAUUUUAUUUAUUUUUUUGAGAGAGACUCUCACUGUGACACCCAGGCUGGAGUGCAAUGGUGUGAUCUCAGCUUACUGCAACCUCCGCUUCCCGGGUUCAACCGAUUCUCCUGCCUCAGCCUCCCGAGUAGCUGGGACUACAGGGGGCAAGCGCGAUGAGGAGCUGGUUCUGCCCAUCAACUCCUCUCUCAGCGUCACUCUGCACCAGGACCAGUUAAAAACCACCACGACGGCCAUCAUCAGCAAGGACUUCACCGAGGACCGGAUUUGGCUGAAUGGCCGGGAGGAGGACGUGGGGCAGCCGCGGCUCCAGGCCUGCCUGCGGGAGAGUGAGUUGGGGUCCCUGUAAGCCCAUCCCUCCCUGUUGUCAGCAGGGUCCGAGCGUCCAGAAAGUGCUUCUGCCUCUGUGCCCCUCCUGAGGCAGCAGGCGGCGUGGCUGGGAACCAGACAUGCCCGCUGGGCCGCCAGCUCCAAGGCAGUGGCCCACCUCAAUGACCAGCUGGGCUUGGGUCGAUCUGGGGUUUUCCUGGGUAAGAAACUCUCCACGAGGAGUCUGGCAGGCAGAGGCCUGGUGUUCAGCUGUGACCCCGGGCAGGUGGGCAGGAGCACGGCGGGCAGGGUGCUGACGGCUGGGCCACACGCUGUCUCAUUGUCUCUGCAGUCCGCUGCCUGGCCCAGAAGCGGAGGAACUCACGGGAUGGGGACCCGCUGCCCUCCAGCCUCAGCUUCAAGGUGCAUGUGGCAUCAGUGAACAACUUCCCCACAGCUGCGGGCCUGGCCUCCUCGGCGGCGGGCUAUGCCUGCCUAG
rnacentral:sRNA from 1 species